GGAAGAAAUCAUAUAGUGAAAUGGAAAUUAAUGAAGUUCGAUCAGAUUGGGUUAUGUUAGUGACUCAGUUAAUCAUUACUCAUGUUUGAAGUUGGCAGUGUUUUCAAUAUGGAUCAUUUUGGGGGUUGCUCUAUUAUGAUUGAUGUAUAGUUGGCAUAUUGAGAGGUGAAGCCAAGUAGACAUGGUUGUACAAAAAGGCAUAGGCCAUUCUAUUAACAACGUC